rfam:Schistosoma haematobium scaffold1646_3, whole genome shotgun sequence.
AUCCAGCUGACGAGUCCAAAAUAGAACGAAACCCUCAUCCUGGAU